CCUACGGGAGGCAGCAGUAAGGAAUAUUGCGCAAUGGGCGAAAGCCUGACGCAGCGACGCCGCGUGGGGGAUGAAGGUCUUCGGAUUGUAAACCCCUUUCGGGAGGGAAGAUGGAACGAGCAAUCGUUCGGACGGUACCUCCAGAAGCAGCCACGGCCAACUUCGUGCCAGCAGCCGCGGUAAUACGAAGGUGGCAAGCGUUGUUCGGAUUCACUGGGCGUACAGGGUGUGUAGGCGGUUUGGUAAGCCUUCUGUUAAAGCUUCGGGCCCAACCCGGAAAGCGCAGAGGGUACUGCCAGGCUAGAGGGUGGGAGAGGAGCGCGGAAUUCCCGGUGUAGCGGUGAAAUGCGUAGAGAUCGGGAGGAAGGCCGGUGGCGAAGGCGGCGCUCUGGAACAUACCUGACGCUGAGACACGAAAGCGUGGGGAGCAAACAGGAUUAGAUACCCUGGUAGUCCACGCCCUAAACUAUGGAUACUAAGUGUCGGCGGGUUACCGCCGGUGCCGCAGCUAACGCAUUAAGUAUCCCGCCUGGGAAGUACGGUCGCAAGGUUGAAACUCAAAGGAAUUGACGG
rnacentral:rRNA from 1 species